rnacentral:rRNA from 1 species
UACGUAGGGUGCGAGCGUUAAUCGGAAUUACUGGGCGUAAAGGGCGCGUAGGCGGCGCGGUAAGUCACUUGUGAAAUCUCUGAGCUUAACUCAGAACGGCCAAGUGAUACUGCAGUGCUAGAGUGCAGAAAGGGCAAUCGGAAUUCUUGGUGUAGCGGUGAAAUGCGUAGAUAUCAAGAGGAACACCUGAGGCGAAGGCGGGUUGCUAGGCUGACACUGACGCUGAGGCGCGAAAGCCAGGGGAGCAAACGGG